rnacentral:rRNA from 1 species
AACGAACGCUGGCGGCAUGCCUAACACAUGCAAGUCGAACGAGACCUUCGGGUCUAGUGGCGCACGGGUGCGUAACGCGUGGGAACCUGCCCUUAGGUUCGGAAUAACUCCCCGAAAGGGGUGCUAAUACCGGAUAAUGUCUUCGGACCAAUGAUUUAUCGCCUUUGGAUGGGCCCGCGUUGGAUUAGCUAGUUGGUAGGGUAAAAGCCUACCAAGGCGACGAUCCAUAGCUGGUCUGAGAGGAUGGUCAGCCACACUGGGACUGGGACACGGCCCAGACUCCUACGGGAGGCAGCAGUGGGGAAUAUUGGACAAUGGGCGAAAGCCUGAUCCAGCAAGGCCGCGUGAGUGAUGAAGGCCUUAGGGUUGUAAAGCUCUUUUACCCGGGAUGAUAAUGACAGUACCGGGAGAAUAAGCUCCGGCUAACUCCGUG